rnacentral:rRNA from 1 species
AAUAGAUACCCUGGUAGUCCACGCCGUAAACGGUGGGCACUAGGUGUGGGACCCUUCCACGGGUUCCGUGCCGUAGCUAACGCAUUAAGUGCCCCGCCUGGGGAGUACGGCCGCAAGGCUAAAACUCAAAGGAAUUGAACGGGGGCCCGCACAAGCGGCGGAGCAUGCGGAUUAAUUCGAUGCAACGCGAAGAACCUUACCUGGGUUAGACAUAUACCGGAAACAUCUGGAGACAGGUGCCCCGCAAGGUCGGUAUACAGGUGGUGCAUGGCUGUCGUCAGCUCGUGUCGUGAGAUGUUGGGUUAAGUCCCGCAACGAGCGCAACCCUCGUUCUAUGUUGCCAGCGGUUCGGCCGGGAACUCAUAGAAGACUGCCGGGGUCAACUCGGAGGAAGGUGGGGAUGACGUCAAGUCAUCAUGCCCCUUAUGUCCAGGGCUUCACGCAUGCUACAAUGGCUGGUACAAAGGGCUGCGAUAUCGCAAGAUGGAGCGAAUCCCAUAAAGCCAGUCUCAGUUCGGAUUGGGGUCUGCAACUCCG